rnacentral:rRNA from 1 species
AACGUAGGUGGCGAGCGUUAUCCGGAUUUACUGGGCGUAAAGCGUGCGCAGGCGGUUCGCCAAGUCAGGUGUGAAAUCCCCGGGCUUAACCUGGGAAUUGCGCUUGAAACUAGCGGGCUUGAGUGCGGCAGAGGGGGGUGGAAUUCCACGUGUAGCAGUGAAAUGCGUAGAGAUGUGGAGGAACACCGAUGGCGAAGGCAGCCCCCUGGGUCGACACUGACGCUCAUGCACGAAAGCGUGGGGAGCAAACAGG